UACGUAGGGUGCGAGCGUUGUCCGGAAUUAUUGGGCGGAAAGGGCUCUUAGGCGGUUUGUCGCGUCGUGAGUGAAAACUCAGGGCUUAACCCUGAGCCUGCUUCCGAUACGGGCAGACUAGAGGUAUGCAGGGGAGAACGGAAUUCCUGGUGUAGCGGUGAAAUGCGCAGAUAUCAGGAGGAACACCGGUGGCGAAGGCGGUUCUCUGGGCAUUACCUGACGCUGAGGAGCGAAAGUGUGGGGAGCGAACAGG
rnacentral:rRNA from 1 species